AUGGUUGCUCGGAUCUGGACCAGCUGCUGCUCCUACUGCUUCAGGUGGACGAGGACGAGCCCUCCCUCAUGGCUGCUGCGGCUGCCUACUCCCUCCUCCUACCCCCUGUCCUGGUGUGUGAACAAAGGAAGCCUUGCGCCAAGGAGAAGCGGACGUGGUGUUCGACUAGGCCAAAGAGAGGACAGGAGAGGACCACAGAGAGCAAAGGAGAGGAUAGAAUCAGAGCACCGUCACUCAGGCGUGGGUAAAUCCGAUCAUGGUGCUUCAGGUUCAGGGUCUGCCUUGCUAUGA
rnacentral:rRNA from 1 species